GAUGAACGCUGGCGGCGUGUCUAAGGCAUGCAAGUCGAACGGACUGUUAUUUGUAGCAAUACUUAGAACAGUUAGUGGCAAACGGGUGCGUAACACAUUGGUAACCUGCCUCAAAGUCGGGCAUAAUCCCGCGAAAGUGGGACUAAUUCCACGAUGGUCAUCGAAGGUGAGAUUCCUUCGAUGUAAAGUCGCAAGACGCUUUGAGAGGGGCCUAUGGCCUAUCAGCUUGUUGGUGAGGUAACGGCUCACCAAGGCUAUGACGGGUAGGGGGUGUGAGAGCACGACCCCCCCUCACUGGGACUGAGACACUGCCCAGACACCUACGGGUGGCUGCAGUCGAGAAUAUUCCCCAACUGGCCGAAAGGCUGAGGGAGCGACGCCGCGUGCAGGAUAAGGCCU
rnacentral:rRNA from 1 species